rnacentral:snoRNA from 1 species
AUACAUGAUGAUAUAAUUUGCGAUCGACUCCGGUGUGUUGGGCCCUCGCCAGGGUACUAUAGCACCCGGCAGGAUGAGAUUUAUUCUUACAUAUACUGAAC